rnacentral:rRNA from 1 species
AUUGAACGCUGGCGGCAGGCCUAACACAUGCAAGUCGAACGGUAACAGGAAGAAGAUUGCUUCUUUGCUGACGAGUGGCGGACGGGUGAGUAAUGUCUGGGAAACUGCCUGAUGGAGGGGGAUAACUACUGGAAACGGUAGCUAAUACCGCAUAACGUCGCAAGACCAAAGAGGGGGACCUUCGUGCCUCUUGCCAUCGGAUGUGCCCAGAUGGGGUUAGCUAGUAGGUGGGGUAACGGCUCACCUAGGCGACGAUCCCUAGCUGGUCUGAGAGGGUGACCAGCCACCUGGGCUCUGAGACACGGCCCAGACUCCUAGGGGAGGCAGCAGUGGGGAAUAUUGCACAAUGGGGGAAAGGCUGAUGCAGCCAUGCCGCGGGUAUGAAGAAGGACUUAGGGUGGUAAAGUACUUUCAGCGGGGAGGAAGGGAGUAAAGUUAAUACCUUUGCUUAUUGACGUUACCCGCAGAAGAAGCACCGGCUAACUCCGUG